rnacentral:tRNA from 1 species
GGGCAAGUAGUUUAAAGGUGAAACAGAGAACUCAUAAUUCUCCUAGUGCUGGUUCGAGUCCAGCCUUGCCCA